ensembl:snoRNA SNORA71 Small nucleolar RNA SNORA71
CCCUGUAUCGAAAGUGACUGUGGUAUGCACUGUUGCCUGGUCAUUGAUAGUACAGGGAGAGAGAACUGAAAGUCUUUCCCGUGUUUGCUGGGAACGCUGUCCCUGUCAAACCCUGUAUCUUUCAGACA